rnacentral:misc_RNA from 1 species
AAUUCUCAACUGCUUUGGCUUUGCUCAAAGUGAAGUUGGACUUUGGAGGGUUUGUCGGCGUGCACGACUCCUCCUAAAAGCAUGAAGCCUUUUCUUUGCCAGAUCUCUUGGCGCAAAGUAUCUUUGACGUGAUAACUGUCUACGUCGCAGAGAAAGCCUUGAGCAGAGAGCGUUCUCUUUUGAAAGGGGAGUGUUUUCGACAAGGACGGGGUUUGUUGCGUGAGGCACUUAUGGGGCCUCACUUUGACCAA